rnacentral:misc_RNA from 1 species
UUGUACACUUUUAAAGCUCCCUUGUUUUCAGUUCCCGAUAGCAAUUAUUUUGUCCAAUUGCUAAGGGCUGCAGAAUUAACCAACUUUAAUACUCUUCAAUAAGCACAAUUAGCAAUUGAGGUUACACACGUGCCAGGCCAUUCAAAGAGGUUUCAAAAUCAAAACAAAGCAUGCCUGCAUCAAAAGCAGAAAGCUCAGGAGAAAAUGCGUUCAGAUCACCGGGCCCACAACCUUCUGAGAUGACCGCAUCAGAUUGGCCAAAAAACCAGCUCUCAUAAUCAUGAUCCUUGUGUAGAUCAGUGCUUUCAGCAAACUGGGAACUAAACUGCUCGACAGUUGUGGGUUCAUUGUUGGACCCCGUGCCACGAGGAUUAAUAUUUUCAGCUGAAACUUGGUGACUGCUUUCACUCAAAUUGCUAAUCCAAUCAUAGUCAAAAUCAGGAAAACCUGAAUCAACAAAAUUUUGACUUUGAUUCUGAUAUAUGUNNCCUUGACGGCACAAUAGGCUGACUGUACACUUCAGGUUGAGAAGCCACUGUGUUUAACGUGACACUGCCCAUGUUGGGCUGGGAGGGGGCUGGAAAAGCAUAUGAGUCGAAAUCAUGUUUGGUAGAGCAUCCUGCCAACCAGAAGGAUUUUUAGCAUUUGUUGUGGCCAGUGAAACAGCAUUCCUAGUAUAGUGUGAUGCAGGAGCACAAUUCAUGUUGUUCACAGCGCCAUACAUAGAUUGGUUCACCGCAAAAGCACCCCUGAUGAUUCCUGGCCUUUUA